rnacentral:rRNA from 1 species
AUGUAUAGUGGAGUAAAAGUUGUCCUCCACAUCCGGCUGGAAUGGAUAGCCCAGACCCUUUCCUCACCCUGCCGGUUUUCACCGUCGAAAAUCACCCACACGCCGCUGCCCGUGCGGAAGAAAAGGCUGGGAAUGAAAAAAACACACCGAGUUCAAGCUCCUCCUCCAAUCGCCACAAUGGCCUCCGGGGUGGCCACUGCCUCUCCAGCAAUGGCCCACCGCCUUCCCGCCGCUCCCGCCGGAGCUAAACGAGCUCGAAAGCCAACGGCGGCGGCGGCGGCGCUCGCUGAGGCGGCCGCGAAGAAGAAGAUGAAGAAGGACAUAACGACGCCUUGUCCGUGA